UCCUGUCUCUAUUUUCUCCCCUCACUCAAACGUUGGGGGUUGGAAAUCCCACCGCAUGAGUUCCCUUUUGCUUCAUGCCUCCAUCCCUUCUUGGCCAUCACUCUACAUCGCUGGAGAAAUCAUAGGUAGCUUCUAUGAUUUCUUUCUCGCAUCCCAUCGUUGAUCAUCUCAGGCGAAGCCCAAAAAAUACAACAAUGGGUAUUUAUUCUUCCCGCCCCACCCUAUCUUCUCUCUCUUGGACAUUAAGGUUUGGAAAUCCCAUCGCCUGAGUACUCUAUGCAUCACUCCUUUGGAUAUCACUCUGCAUUGUUUGAGAAGAAAUCACUGUCAACAGCUGUCGGAGUUUCAGAUUUCUUUGUUGGAUGGAAGCAUACAUCCCCAAAGCCUCGACAGAUUUGGAUGUUGAGUCAAAUGUCUUAUUGACGUCAGGAAUUGGGCUGCCUAUUCUCUUUUCCAGCAACUUCUUCUAAAAAUAAUGGAGUUCUCCCCAGCCUACAUGUGUAAGUUGCUGUAUCAACAAAUUGAGGAAGAAGAAAUUGAAAAGCCAUCACUUUCUUUUUACCUUCCAUACUUGAGAAGGAUGUCUUCAGUUAUCAUUCUUUUUUCAGCAUUUUUUUUCCCCUUUCUUUCUUAUUGCCAUGUAAUGUUAAUGAUCACCUUACAAAAAUUUGUUCAACUUCAUUACUUAUGCUUUGAAGCUUUCAUGUAUCUUAAAUUUCAUGUGUAACAAAUAUCUUCCUUUAGCCCAUGAGUAUUCUGGGUUAACUUUGUUGAGCAUUUUCAACUUUGGAAGUAGUUGUUAUUUUAGUUAAAUGUCAUGGUUAGUCA